rnacentral:rRNA from 1 species
UGACCUCGGAUCAGGUAGGGAUACCCGCUGAACUUAAGCAUAUAAAAAGGGGGGAGAGAGAAAGGCCAGGGAGGGGCCGGCCACGGUU